rnacentral:rRNA from 1 species
GACGAACGCUGGCGGCGUGCUUAACACAUGCAAGUCGAACGGGAUCCGGGCUUUCGGGUUUGGUGAGAGUGGCGAACGGGUGAGUAACACGUGAGUAACCUGCCCCCUUCUUUGGGAUAACGUCGGGAAAUCGGCGCUAAUACUGGAUAUUCUUGCUGCAUCGCAUGGUGUGGUUUGGAAAGGGUUUCUGGUGGGGGAUGGGCUCGCGGCCUAUCAGCUUGUUGGUGGGGUGAUGGCCUACCAAGGCUUUGACGGGUAGCCGGCCUGAGAGGGUGUCCGGCCACACUGGGACUGAGACACGGCCCAGACUCCUACGGGAGGCAGCAGUGGGGAAUAUUGCACAAGGGGCGCAAGCCUGAUGCAGCGACGCCGCGUGAGGGAUGACGGCCUUCGGGUUGUAAACCUCUUUCAGUAUGGAACAAGGAUCCUUCUUUUGGGGGGUUUGAGGGUACGUGCAGAAGAAGCGCCGGCUAACUACGUG